rnacentral:rRNA from 1 species
AGCUUGCUACCUGACCUAGCGGCGGACGGGUGAGUAAUGCUUAGGAAUCUGCCUAUUAGUGGGGGACAACAUUCCGAAAGGAAUGCUAAUACCGCAUACGCCCUACGGGGGAAAGCAGGGGAUCUUCGGACCUUGCGCUAAUAGAUGAGCCUAAGUCGGAUUAGCUGGUUGGUGGGGUAAAGGCCUACCAAGGCGACGAUCUGUAGCGGGUCCGAGAGGAUGAUCCGCCACACUGGGACUGAGACACGGCCCAGACUCCUACGGGAGGCAGCAGUGGGGAAUAUUGGACAAUGGGGGGAACCCUGAUCCAGCCAUGCCGCGUGUGUGAAGAAGGCCUUAUGGUUGUAAAGCACUUUAAGCGAGGAGGAGGCUCUCUUGGUUAAUACCCAAGAUGAGUGGACGUUACUCGCAGAAUAAGCACCGGCUAACUCUGUGCCAGCAGCCGCGGUAAUACAGAGGGUGCGAGCGUUAAUCGGAUUUACUGGGCGUAAAGCGUGCGUAGGCGGCUUUUUAAGUCGGAUGUGAAAUCCCCGAGCUUAACUUGGGAAUUGCAUUCGAUACUGGGAAGCUAGAGUAUGGGAGAGGAUGGUAGAAUUCCAGGUGUAGCGGUGAAAUGCGUAGAGAUCUGGAGGAAUACCGAUGGCGAAGGCAGCCAUCUGGCCUAAUACUGACGCUGAGGUACGAAAGCAUGGGGAGCAAACAGGAUUAGAUACCCUGGUAGUCCAUGCCGUAAACGAUGUCUACUAGCCGUUGGGGCCUUUGAGGCUUUAGUGGCGCAGCUAACGCGAUAAGUAGACCGCCUGGGGAGUACGGUCGCAAGACUAAAACUCAAAUGAAUUGACGGGGGCCCGCACAAGCGGUGGAGCAUGUGGUUUAAUUCGAUGCAACGCGAAGAACCUUACCUGGUCUUGACAUAGUAAGAACUUUCCAGAGAUGGAUUGGUGCCUUCGGGAACUUACAUACAGGUGCUGCAUGGCUGUCGUCAGCUCGUGUCGUGAGAUGUUGGGUUAAGUCCCGCAACGAGCGCAACCCUUUUCCUUAUUUGCCAGCACUUCGGGUGGGAACUUUAAGGAUACUGCCAGUGACAAACUGGAGGAAGGCGGGGACGACGUCAAGUCAUCAUGGCCCUUACGACCAGGGCUACACACGUGCUACAAUGGUCGGUACAAAGGGUUGCUACCUAGCGAUAGGAUGCUAAUCUCAAAAAGCCGAUCGUAGUCCGGAUUGGAGUCUGCAACUCGACUCCAUGAAGUCG